AGUAACGCGUGGGUAACCUGCCUCAUACAGGGGGAUAACAGUUAGAAAUGACUGCUAAUACCGCAUAAGCGCACAGUGCUGCAUGGCACAGUGUGAAAAACUCCGGUGGUAUGAGAUGGACCCGCGUCUGAUUAGCUAGUUGGUGGGGUAACGGCCUACCAAGGCGACGAUCAGUAGCCGCCUGAGAGGGUGAACGGCCACAUUGGGACUGAGACACGGCCCAA
rnacentral:rRNA from 1 species